rnacentral:rRNA from 1 species
AGCGAACGCUGGCGGCAGGCCUAACACAUGCAAGUCGAACGAAGUCUUCGGACUUAGUGGCGGACGGGUGAGUAACACGUGGGAACGUACCUUUUGGUUCGGAACAACUCAGGGAAACUUGAGCUAAUACCGGAUGAGCCCUUAGGGGGAAAGAUUUAUCGCCGAAAGAGCGGCCCGCGUUAGAUUAGCUAGUUGGUGAGGUAAAGGCUCACCAAGGCUACGAUCUAUAGCUGGUCUGAGGGGAUGAUCAGCCACACUGGGACUGAGACACGGCCCAGACUCCCACGGGAGGCAGCAGUGGGGAAUCUUGCGCAAUGGGCGAAAGCCUGACGCAGCCAUGCCGCGUGAAUGAUGAAGGUCUGAGGAUUGUAAAAUUCUUUUACCAGGGACGAUAAUGACGGUACCUGGAGAAAAAGCCCCGGCUAACUUCGUGCCAGCCGCCGCCGUAACAC